rnacentral:rRNA from 1 species
UUUCGCAAUGCCCGAAAGGGUGACGAAGCGACGCCGCGUGCGGGAAGAAGGCCUUCGGGUUGUAAACCGCUGUCGGGAGUUAGGAAAUGCAGGUGCGUUAAUAGCGCACUUGCUUGACUAAGGCUCCAGAGGAAGCCACGGCUAACUCUGUGCCAGCAGCCGCGGUAAUACAGAGGCGGCAAGCGUUGUUCGGAAUUAUUGAGCGUAAAGAGCACGUAGGCGGCCUUGCAAGUCAGUUGUGAAAGCCUUCCGCUUAACGGAAGAACGGCAUCUGAUACUACAGGGCUUGAGUACGGGAGGGGAGAGUGGAACUUCUGGUGGAGCGGCGAAAUGCGUAGAUAUCAGAAGGAACGCCGGCGGCGAAAGCGACUCUCUGGUCCGAAACUGACGCUGAGUGUGCGAAAGCUAGGGGAGCAAACGGGAUUAGAUACCCCGGUAGUCCUAGCCGUAAACGAUGGGCACUAAGUAGAGGGGUUUU